rnacentral:rRNA from 1 species
UACGUAGGGUGCAAGCGUUGUCCGGAUUAUUGGGCGUAAAGAGCUCGUAGGCGGUUUGUCGCGUCUGGUGUGAAAAUCCAGGGCUUAACCCUGGACCUGCAUCGGGUACGGGCAGACUAGAGUGCGGUAGGGGAGAUCGGAAUUCCUGGUGUAGCGGUGAAAUGCGCAGAUAUCAGGAGGAACACCGGUGGCGAAGGCGGAUCUCUGGGCCGUAACUGACGCUGAGGAGCGAAAGCAUGGGGAGCGAACAGG